rnacentral:rRNA from 1 species
GGGCCCGCACAAGCGGUGGAGCAUGUGGUUUAAUUCGAUGAUACGCGAGGAACCUUACCAGGGCUUAAAUGUAAGUUGCAUAAGCUAGAGAUAGCUUUUUCUUCGGACUACUUACAAGGUGCUGCAUGGUUGUCGUCAGCUCGUGCCGUGAGGUGUCAGGUUAAGUCCUAUAACGAGCGCAACCCCUGUUGUUAGUUGCCAUCGAGUAAUGUCGGGAACUCUAACAAGACUGCCGGUGCAAACCGUGAGGAAGGUGGGGAUGACGUCAAAUCAUCACGGCCCUUACGUCCUGGCUACACACGUGCUACAAUGGCCGGUACAGAGAGCAGCCACUACGCGAGUAGGAG